rnacentral:rRNA from 1 species
AGUCUGGCGUCAGGAGUGAACGCUGGCGGCGUGCCUAACACAUGCAAGCCGAACGAAGCUCGAUCCUCGGAGAUUCGGUCGAAAGAGGAAAGAUGACUUAGUGGCGGACGGGUGAGUAAUGCGUGAGCGAACCUGCCUCGGAUGGGGGACGAACAGUUGGAAACGACUGCUAAUACCGCAUAAUGUAUUCGGAGGGCGAUCCUCUGAAUACCAAAGAUUUAUCGCUCUGAGAUGGGCUCGCGUCUGAUUAGCUAGUUGGUGAGGUAACGGGCUCACCAAGGCUGCGAUCAGUAGCCGGACUGAGAGGUUGAACGGCCACAUUGGGACUGAGAUACGGCCCAGACUCCUACGGGAGGCAGCAGUGGGGAAUAUUGGGCAAUGGGCGCAAGCCUGACCCAGCAACGCCGCGUGAAGGAAGAAGGCUUUCGGGUUGUAAACUUCUUUUAUGAGGGACGAAGAACGUGACGGUACCUCAUGAAUAAGCCACGGCUAACUACGUGCCAGCAGCGGC